GGCCGCUGGGUUUUGUUAGUCAGUCCGUGUGACUCACCCGCAAAAAUCCAUGGUUUGCUAUCCCCCACUUGCGCCACAAGGGUAACCACUAACAAGCUAGAAAAGGUCCUCAUACUGAGCUAAAGCCAGAGCCAUGUAGCCCUCACAGUUGUACUGUAUGUCCCGGAUGGUCAUUUACAGUUAAGUCCUUAUGGAGAGAAACUAGAGCACCAUAAGAUAGCCCAAUGCUCCAGCCCUCAUAUCCAAAGUU
rnacentral:lncRNA from 1 species